rnacentral:rRNA from 1 species
UACAGAGGUCCCAAGCGUUGUUCGGAUUCACUGGGCGUAAAGGGUGCGUAGGCGGUCGGGUAAGUCUGACGUGAAAUCUUCAAGCUUAACUUGGAAACUGCGUCGGAUACUAUUCGGCUAGAGGAAUGGAGGGGAGACUGGAAUACUUGGUGUAGCAGUGAAAUGCGUAGAUAUCAAGUGGAACACCAGUGGCGAAGGCGAGUCUCUGGACAUUUCCUGACGCUGAGGCACGAAAGCCAGGGGAGCAAACGGG